rnacentral:lncRNA from 1 species
UUGUCAUAGGUGGAAAAUAUCCCCAUGAUUUAUGUUAUGUCAUGCAUCGCAUUUUAGGUUAAGAAGAAUCAUGACCAAAUACAUGAAAUAUAAUCUUUGAAAUACUAUUAAAAAAUAAGGAUGUAUUUUAAAUAGAUGAAUAAAAAAAUAUUGUAAUAUUUUAGUUAUCUUGGAUGCAUCAUUCGACAAAAAAAAAAAAAUAAUAUUUUUAAAAGUGCUGGGAUUAAAAAAUUAAUAUUUUUCGAAGGUUAGAAAUAAGAUUUAAUAAAAUAAAAGAUUAAAAAAUAAAUAAAUAUUGCUCUAAUAGAGAAUAAAAUGAAAAAAAUAUAUCAUGUAACAAAAUAUUCAAAGAAAACUAGUAUUUAUUGUGGUUAGAUGAUGCAAGUUGAUUAGGAUUAAUAAGGUGAGAAGAGUGAGUUCACUAGGAACAAUAAAAAAAAAUUAUUUAUAUAGAGUUCAACAAUUCGAAGGAAAAAUAAGGUUGUUAUAUAGAGGUGAGGUAAUAAUGACGAGACUCCCAUGAGUCUCUCUUGACUACUCCAACCCUAGAGUUGGUGAAAAACUUUCAAAUCAUGUAGUAAAUCAAGAUAACUAUACGCAAACGAUUGAGGGUUAGUGACCAAUGAUUGUAUUAUAGGCGAAUAAAAUAUCGAAUGACUAGAAAUUUUAUCUUCAUAAUUUUAGAGAAAUCAUCAAAUCCAAAAGUAAUAUACAAAUCUAGGGAGUUAUGGAAUCUCACUAAAGCCAAUGAGUAUAGAGGAGAUCAGUUGGAAGUCAUUUACGCUUAACCCCGA